rfam:Oryza rufipogon genomic scaffold, chr11
UUUAAGUGCAGUUGUGGAUUUCUGUGUCCGUCUUAUUUGAAAUUUUUUAUGAUUAGUGUUUUUAUUAUUAUUAGAUGAUAAAACAUGAAUAGUACUUUAUGCGUGAAUUAUUUUUAAUUUUUUUCAUAAAUUUUUCAAAUAAGAUAAAUGGUCAAACAUUGUAUACGGAAAUCCGCAACUGCACUUAAA